GGGGGGGGGGGGGGGAAAGCACCAUCUUCUUCAGGUAAUUCUUCGCCGCUUCAGUCGAUGCUCUCUGCAGCAACAUAUCUCUGUGUAUCGGAUCGAAACGAGGAGGUUUUUUCCGUUUAUACACAAACCACGUAAAAGAGAAGGAGAUAGCACUCUCAUUUCACUUUUCUCACCAAAGGACGCAUGCUGCGUAUCACGAGUUAAAAGUCAGACACUUGGACAGCUCGAAUCCACGAACGACUUGAAAAUCUAAAGGGGCAGGUUGUGUUGAUCACAAACUGAAAGAACUCAUGCAGAGCUCAGCUGUGAUCCACUGCUUAAAGCAAACGAACGCAUGCAUAUGGCUCAACUGAAAGCAUCAGUGGUUCUGAAUCAUGCAUAUGGCUAUUUUCAAGUUGAUCAGACCCUAUCAUCUUGUCCAUCUUUUCUUCACCGCUCUUCAUUGCUGAUACCUCGUCAAUUUCCUCUUCUAGUCGACUAAGGUCAGUCACACUAAGCUGCUCCAAAUAUGGCUCUUCCAGGUACCUUCCCAAAGUUGCUGCACAAUUGUACUGUUGGAGAUUGGUUUCUCAGCUAAGGUGUAUUUUGUCCAUGCUACACAGGAAGACAAUGUUACAAUGGCCGCCAUAAACUUGUACUUUUUGUCACUCAAUCUGUAGUCAAUGAUAAUAUAGAGCCCAAACAUGUUCAGUUAAUCAAUGAGCAGCAAAAACAAACAAUCUGAUGUAGAACAGAAAAGUAGUUAUUAGGAUUUAGUAUUUUGAUUAUUUUAAUUCUUUUGUUUAUUUCCUAUUUUAGUUUGUUUGCUAGUUUCUUUCAUUAAUUCUUUAGUUUUUUUUUUUUGAAAUAAGUGAGGACUGAUAUGUUAUAAAUGAAGCCAAAAGAGCAGAACAGCAAACAUUAGAAAAAAAACACCAGCCCCACCCACCAACAAACCAGAAAAAAACAGAAGCCCAGAAAAACAACUGCCCCCCCCCCCCCCCCCCCCCCCACACACACACGCGCGCGCGCGCCAUUAGGAAAGACCCGAGAGAACCCAAUCAGACUUCAUAACCAACCAGCCUAGAAGAGUGAGAGGAACUUAUUGGCCAAGAGCCGAAGCAGACAUGAUGAAAGUAGCUUUUGAUUAUUGAAUUGAUUUGAGUUUGUUCCUGUGUUCUGGCUUUCAGGUUCUGCAUCAUAAUCAUAUACAAAUUUCUGUAAUUUAAUAUGUUUCCCCAAUGGAUUUGAAUAAAAACUGAAACAACAUGGAAAAAUUCUUUUUGACGAGUCAAAUUGUAGUAGUAGAUGUUGAACCUCUUUCCGUGCUCAAUAAAUAAAUUACCUCUGCUUCACUCUUUCCUUCUGCCUUGGAGUGGCUCUGAUAACGCUGGAGUAUCUUUGCCGAACUGAAAUAUUAAAGACUAUUCAGCUCCAUCUUCAGGAUGAAAAUCGACAGCCCAAUAGCAACAUAUGCAUGAUUACAUAUACAAGAUUAUAAAUGAAACAAUGUCAAACAAUUAAAUGAUUGUGCACAAAGCAACGUUGUGCAUAUUCCCACGCAAUGUGUAUAGAAAUAAAAAAUAAAUGAAUAACAUUAAACAGAUUGCUUAUGCAGUGCAGAACUUUAACAGGUAAGAUAGACCUGGGAAUUCAUUGAAUAACAUGGGAAGAUUUUAAUAACCAGCAGAAUUUGGGAAAGUGAAAUAUACUGAUUGGAAUAUAUGAACAGAAUACAGAAAGCUAAUGUUAGAAUGUUAGGUUGGCACACUGCCACAGCCAUAGGGCAUAUAAGCUUUGAAGAAAACCACAAAAAAGAUCAUGAACUCUGAACCAAGUAUAUGGCAUAACUACAAAAAAUGGAUCCAUGCAUUAAGAACUACCUUUGCCACUUUAUUUCUCUGUAUCUUUUUCUAGUGAAGAAAUAAUAUUACCAAUUGGUUGAGAGACAAAUAUCAGUGUAUUAUUAUUUCUGCUCUUUGUUAACGGUUGUUCUGGUUAUAUUCAUCAAUUUUGGACUAUUACUAUGAUUGAUUCUUAGUUGUCACUCAAAGUCACUUCAAUGAGGUCCAGGAAAAAGGUACCAGUUGGUGCAUCUCCGCACUAAGGAUGUUGAACUCUUAUUAUGGAAUCCGCUUCAAUUCACAUCUAGAAAUUCCAAAAAUAAUAAGCAUCUCCAUAUCAAAUUAUGAAGCACAACCUCAUGCUUCAAAUACAAGGACUUCCUACAUUUUGGAAACAAGAUUACUAAUCGCUUUCCAAAAAGCCUUUUCACUUCCAACAAGCAUGGAUGUCACAAAUUGAGCAAACAAUCAUACCAAUGACAAUGCUUUUGGCUAAUAGCUUCCCAUUUAAGGUGUGUGGCAAGUCUAAGUCCUUUGUUAUGCGGUUAACUGAGGUCACACAUUUUUUUAUUAUUCCUAGUAGCUUGUCUGGAAGCAGAUUGUACUAGUGGACCUGGCCACCAUCAUUAUUGUGUGCUAAAAAGAGCGUAUGGUUUCAGAAAAGUGCCAUAAUAUGUCAAACAUCAAUAUUUGGUGAAUAUUCUGCUUGCAUAUUAAACUCUUAUUUCUAGACUUUUUUAAUUUCAGAAACUAUCAAAGCUAAAGUUCAGUUUGUUACCAAUAGAUUGUAGAAUGAAUACUAAAAUUUCUUCUCUCUUCUCCAAAUUUAUAAAUGUAGAAGAAAACUUUUCUCUAUGCCAAACGUAUUUACUUCAUAUUUAAUUUCACAAUAUAUAUUUACCCAUUGAGGCAUUAUUGUCAAUAGAUGUCAUAAUUUUUUCUGAAAAUUGUUGGGGUAAGAUAUUUGUUUAUGACCUCCUUACAUAUAAAUGUCUGUGCUCCUUAUGAUACAAAGCAACGUUUUAUUUGGCCAAUGAUUGGUGUAAUAAUUACUCAAAAUGAAAAAUUGUGGAACACGAGGAAAGUCAUAAAAAAACUUUGAUAGACCUUUAUGUCAACUCCUUUUAUCUACAAUUUAUAGACGAAGUUGAAUAUUGGUUUCACACAUUGGCCAUGCACUUUUCAUAUGAGAUGUAGAUAUUUGUACAGAAGUAGGAGGAAUUUUGAAAAGAAAGGUGAUAUUAAAGGCUUCUACAAUACAACAAAGGGGCGCGUUAACAAUUAACUAAUAUAAUAGAGAACACAAGGAUUGCCCUUUAUUUUUUUUUUUUUUUAUCUACAAGAGUGCUUCUAGACCCAAGAAUGUUGGAGUUUCUCCUCUUUAAAGUGUGUUUUACCAACUUCUAGUAACUUUCUUGAUGUAGUUCUUAUAGAAGAGGACACAUGGCCUUGUAUUAGCCUUAUUGUCAUAACAUUUUGUAAACUUAUUUUCAUUAAAAUGGAUUUUUGGUUUCUGUCCUUGUUUUUUUUUUUCCCUUUUAAAAUAUUGGUGCUUCUGAUUUGCAACUUCUGUGAUUAUUGCUACUUCCAUAUUCUUGUUAUUUACUAUUGGUAUUUGGACUUGUAUAAAUUGCUUAAAGCUUGUGUUGGUUGGGGAAGGGAUGCUUGAAAGCAAGUUGUAUAGAACAAUGCUUGGGGAUAGGGUAUCCACUGAAUUCUUAAGUGCCUUACGGAGGUAAAUAGUCACCGAUAAUGGUUUUAACAGGGGAUCAAGAUGUUGCACACUCUCUCAAGGAGGGCAAGAAUGCAAAGAAUAUGUAUAUAAGGGAUGAGACUCUUGAACUACUACUCUGUUGAGUUGGAUGAGAAUGUGUACAACAUCUAAAGAAGGUGACUAAGCUAGGGGAGGGUACUUGCAGGCCACCAAGUCAUCACGUGCUUGGAGACUUCAAUGAGUGAGGUUCACAAGUUAGAGAUCCCGUUACAUGUGGGGGGCAUGCGGUUACUCUGGCAAUUAUUUGAAUUUAGUUGAUAAUCUUGUUGAUUGCAGAUGCACACUGGUGGAUUUUUUAUUUGUCUAGUGUGUGCAACGUUAGAUCCUAUUCCUCUCUCACUCUAUCUCUAGCUUACUAUCUCUCAUUCUAGUGGGUAUUGAUUUAAAUUACUCACUUCAUGUUCAUAUUUAAAUUUGUUUUUUAUUGUAUAUGAAAAAAGUUUAAAAUUAGUCUACAAUGUAGUCAUAUAAGUUUCAAUAUUUUAUUUAUACUAUCAAAACUGUUGGAAGCAAAACAACCACAUUUGCAUUGGAUGUCGUGUGCAACACAUUGCCCCCCAUUAGGUGAUAAGAGGAUAUUUUCCUUACACUACUUGAAUGGGGUUCAUGGAUGAGAAAAAUACUAAUUUGGAGGAAAA